rnacentral:ncRNA from 1 species
UCCAGGGGUAAAAUGGUCAUUUUGUGAAAAUCUAGGGCAAAAUGGCCAUUUUGCCUAAUUAUAAAUAUUCGAGUGCCUGAUUUAUAUGAUGAUGAAAUGAAUAAAUUUUAAGGGCCGUCGCUCAACGGAUAAAAGUUACUUUAGGGAUAACAGGCUGAUCUUCCCCAAGAGCUCACAUCGACGGGAAGGUUUGGCACCUCCAUGUCGGCUCUUCGCCACCUGGGGCUGUAGUAUGUUCCAAGGGUUGGGCUGUUCGCCCAUUAAAGUGGUACAUGAGCUGGGUUCAAAACAUCGUGAGACAGUUCGACCCAUAUCCGGUGUGGGCGUUAGAGCAUUGAGAGGACUUUUCCCUAGUACGAGAGGACCGGGAAGGACGCACAGUUGCUAACUUAAAACCAAAUCUUGAAAGAUUUUGUUGCAGUCAAUAUAGUAAAUCAAUAUAGAUUUAUAGUAAUAGUAAAUAAUAAGAAUAAGUAAUACAACGAUUUCGAACUCUAUUUAGAAUCAAAC